AUUGAACGCUGGCGGCAGGCCUAACACAUGCAAGUCGAGCGGAGCGGCGGACGGGUGAGUAAUGCCUAGGAAUCUUCCUGGUAGUGGGGGAUAACGUCCGGCAACGGGCGCUAAUACCGCAUACUAUCAGAUGAGCCUAGGUCGGAUUAGCUAGUUGGGGGGGUAAAGGCCUACAAAGGCGACGAUCCGUAACUGGUCUGAGGGGAUGAUCAGUCAAACGGGAACUGAGACACGGCCCAGACUCCUACGGGAGGAAGCGGUGGGGAAUAGUGGACAAUGGGCGAAAGCCUGAUCCAGCCAUGCCGCGUGUGGGAAGAAGGUCUUGGGAUGGUAAAGCACUUUAAGUUGGGAGGCGUUACCAGCAGAAUAAGCAACGGCUAACUUCGUGCCAGCAGCCGCGGUAAUUC
rnacentral:rRNA from 1 species